rnacentral:rRNA from 1 species
AUUGAACGCUGGCGGCAUGCCUUACACAUGCAAGUCGAACGGCAGCACGGGAGCAAUCCUGGUGGCGAGUGGCGAACGGGUGAGUAAAGUAUCGGAACGUGCCCAGUCGUGGGGGAUAACGUAGCGAAAGUUACGCUAAUACCGCAUACGAUCUAUGGAUGAAAGCGGGGGAUCGCAAGACCUCGCGCGAUUGGAGCGGCCGAUAUCAGAUUAGGUAGUUGGUGGGUAAAGGCUCACCAAGCCGACGAUCUGUAGCUGGUCUGAGGGGACGACCAGCCACACUGGGACUGAGACACGGCCCAGACUCCUACGGGAGGCAGCAGUGGGGAAUUUUGGACAAUGGGCGCAAGCCUGAUCCAGCCAUGCCGCGUGCAGGAUGAAGGCCUUCGGGUUGUAAACUGCUUUUGUACGGAACGAAAAGGUUUGACUUAAUACGUUGGACUCAUGACGGUACCGUAAGAAUAAGCACCGGCUAACUACGUGCCAGCAGCCGCCGCAG